rnacentral:rRNA from 1 species
GCUCAUAGCGUAUAUUAAGUUGUUGCAGUUAAAAAGCUCGUAGUUGGAUCUCGGGUCCAGGCUGGCGGUCCGACGCCUGUCGGUUACUGCCUGCUCCUGACCUACCUCCCGGUUUUUUCGCCCUUGGUGCUCUUGACUGAGUGUCUCGGGUGGCCGGAACGUUUACUUUGAAAAAAUUAGAGUGUUCAAAGCAGGCAAUAUCGCCUGAAUAAUGGUGCAUGGAAUAAUGGAAUAGGACCUCGGUUCUAUUUUGCUGGUUUUCGGAGCUCGAGGUAAUGAUUAAGAGGGACUGACGGGGGCAUUCGUAUUACGGUGUUAGAGGUGAAAUUCUUGGAUCGCCGUAAGACGAACUACUGCGAAAGCAUUUGCCAAGCAUGUUUUCAUUAGUCAAGAACGAAAGUCAGAGGUUCGAAGACGAUCAGAUACCGCCA